AACGCUAGCUACAGGCUUAACACAUGCAAGUCGAGGGGCAGCAUGAAGUUUGCUUGCAAACUUUGAUGGCGACCGGCGCACGGGUGAGUAACGCGUAUCCAACCUGCCCCGUACUCGGGUAUAGCCCAGCGAAAGCUGGAUUAAUCCCCGAUGUCACCUUUAUGGUGCAUGCCAUAUUGGUUAAAGUUGUUCGGUACGGGAUGGGGAUGCGUCUGAUUAGGUAGUAGGCGGGGUAACGGCCCACCUAGCCGACGAUCAGUAGGGGUUCUGAGAGGAAGGUCCCCCACACUGGAACUGAGACACGGUCCAGACUCCUACGGGAGGCAGCAGUGAGGAAUAUUGGUCAAUGGGCGCGAGCCUGAACCAGCCAAGUAGCGUGCAGGAUGACGGCCCUACGGGUUGUAAACUGCUUUUAUGCGGGAAUAAAGAUAUCUACGUGUAGAUAGUUGCAUGUACCGCAUGAAUAAGGACCGGCUAAUUCCGUGCCAGCAGCCGCGGUAAUACGGAAGGUCCGGGCGUUAUCCGGAUUUAUUGGGUUUAAAGGGAGCGUAGGCGGCCUUUUAAGCGUGCUGUGAAAUGUACCGGCUCAACCGGUGAAUUGCAGCGCGAACUGGAGGGCUUGAGUUCGCGGAAGGCAGGCGGAAUUCGUGGUGUAGCGGUGAAAUGCUUAGAUAUCACGAAGAACUCCGAUUG
rnacentral:rRNA from 1 species